GGUUGAAAAAUUUAGCAUUAAGAAGUGUACCCAUAUCUGUAGAAUGAAAAAAAAUUAAUGAAACUAUCAAUAAAGGGAGCUACUAUUUUAUUUUUUUGGGGGGGAGGAACUAGAAUGAAAAAUUUUGUCCUGUUUUUUCUAAAGUUGAAAUCUCAUCCUGUGUUUUUAUUUUUCACUCUAUUCUGUCCUGCCUUUUUUUCAUUAGUUCAUCCCGAUUUUUUUUACUAAAAUUGUGGUCCUGCCUUUUUGUUUGUCUAAGUUGUUAAUCCGGGCUUUUUUUUACUCAAAACUCCUCUCCUGCCAUAUAACGUAAGUGUACGGAUUUAUAGCUUGGAAAUAAAUCAUGGAAUCUAAUAUGAACAUGUAAACCAUCUAAUUUAACUUUUCCUUCUUUACAUGAACAGCUGCCAACCCAUGGUAAAUAUAGGCAACAGUAGUCCAGUGACGGACCCAGAAAUUUUU
rnacentral:lncRNA from 1 species